rnacentral:misc_RNA from 1 species
UGAUCUUCUUCAUGCAGAUCAUCUAUUCUCCGAUAUUAAGAAAAGGUGCACGAUAGAAUCAGUAUUUGCAGAAGUUGACAGGAUUCUGAGGCCAGAAGGUAAGUUGAUCGUGCGGGACAAUGCUGAAACUAUUCUUGAAAUAGAGAAUAUGGCUAGGUCAGUAAAAUGGAAAGUGAAGAUGUCUUACUCAAAGAAUGGUGAAGGAUUACUAUUUGUUCAAAAAUCAUUUUGGCGUCCAAAUCAAGAACAGAUAGUCAAGUCAGCCAUUGCAUAAGCAGAGAAGAAAAUUUUCCACAAUUAGAUACAAAUCUGAUGUUCCUUUUAUAGUUUAGUUCACUUCCACUAAAUUAGUAGAGAAUACCAUCAUGAUAUAGCUAUCAUACGGUAAGUACGAUUUAUUGUUUUAUGUACUGAGUUUUCAUCAUUUUGGCCAUUCUCUGUAUAAUUACCUCAACUUUGUGUUUCAUAUAAUGGAAAAAGUAUACAUUUGUGAAAAAA